rnacentral:rRNA from 1 species
CGGCAUGCUUUACACAUGCAAGUCGAACGGUAACAGGGAGCUUGCUCCGCUGACGAGUGGCGAACGGGUGAGUAAUGCAUCGGAACGUGCCCAGUCGUGGGGGAUAACGCAGCGAAAGCUGUGCUAAUACCGCAUACGAUCUAUGGAUGAAAGCGGGGGAUCGCAAGACCUCGCGCGAUUGGAGCGGCCGAUGUCAGAUUAGCUAGUUGGUGGGGUAAAGGCCCACCAAGGCGACGAUCUGUAGCUGGUCUGAGAGGACGACCAGCCACACUGGGACUGAGACACGGCCCAGACUCCUACGGGAGGCAGCAGUGGGGAAUUUUGGACAAUGGGCGCAAGCCUGAUCCAGCAAUGCCGCGUGCAGGAAGAAGGCCUUCGGGUUGUAAACUGCUUUUGUACGGAACGAAAAGGUCUGGGUUAAUACCCUGGGCUCAUGACGGUACCGUAAGAAUAAGCACCGGCUAACUACGUG